rnacentral:rRNA from 1 species
AGGACGAACGCUGGCGGCGUGCUUAACACAUGCAAGUCGAGCGGAAAGGCCCUUCGGGGUACUCGAGCGGCGAACGGGUGAGUAACACGUGAGCAAUCUGCCCUUAGCUUCGGGAUAGCCCCGGGAAACCGGGAUUAAUACCGAAUAUGACUUCGGCCGACAUCGGCUGCGGUGGAAAGUUUUUCGGCUAGGGAUGAGCUCGCGGCCUAUCAGCUAGUUGGUGGGGUAGAAGCCUACCAAGGCGACGACGGGUAGCCGGCCUGAGAGGGCGACCGGCCACACUGGGACUGAGACACGGCCCAGACUCCUACGGGAGGCAGCAGUGGGGAAUCUUGCGCAAUGGGCGAAAGCCUGACGCAGCGACGCCGCGUGGGGGAUGAAGGCCUUCGGGUUGUAAACCCCUUUCAGCAGGGACGAAGCGAAAGUGACGGUACCUGCAGAAGAAGCGCCGGCUAACUACGUGCCAGCAGCCGC